rnacentral:tRNA from 1 species
AUUCUUAUAGCUUAUUUAGAGCAUACCGUUGAAGUUGGUAAGGAAAUUAUAGUUUGAGAAUA